CACGACUACGAGUUUGAUCCUGGCUCAGGAUGAACGCUAGCGGCAGGCCUAAUACAUGCAAGUCGAACGGAUAUAUGUUUUUCGGAAUAUAUAUUAGUGGCGCACGGGUGAGUAACACGUACAUAACUUGCCCUCAAGCGGGGGAUAGCCUUGGGAAACUGAGAGUAAUACCCCAUAGAAUUAUUGGACGGCAUCGUUUGAUAAUUAAAACUACGGUGCUUGGGGAUAGAUGUGCGUCUGAUUAGCUAGUUGGUGAGGUAACUGCUCACCAAGGCGACGAUCAGUAGGGGGCGUGAGAGCGUGGCCCCCCACACGGGUACUGAGACACGGACCCGACUCCUACGGGAGGCAGCAGUAAGGAAUAUUGGUCAAUGGAGGGAACUCUGAACCAGCCAUGCCGCGUGAAGGAUGACGGCCCUCUGGGUUGUAAACUUCUUUUGGAUGGGGCGAAAAAACGGGAUUUAUCCUGGACUGACGGUACCAUCAGAAUAAGCACCGGCUAACUCCGUG
rnacentral:rRNA from 1 species